rnacentral:tRNA from 1 species
GCGCUUAUAGCUCAGUUGGCAGAGCACAGCACUUUUAAUGCUGGGGUCCUGAGUUCGAGUCUCAGUGGGCGCA